UUUUCGUAUUUCCCCUCGACACACCAUCAGUCAGAUGGUGACCCGCAUCUUUAGUAUGAUCACAGUCGUGCACGCCCCAUCCGUUAAACGGACACUCCGAUAAGUCACUCUCUGUGUUUAUGCAAUGGACAUUAUCCAUCCAGAUAGGUCCUGACCCGGCGGGAAAGCGACCCCCUGAUACAGCGCUCGUCGCCGCGUACCCCCCCAACAUACGGCACACUACUGUCGCGUCAUGCAUUCCCCAGUGGUCAUCGCACACUGUGCCCCAGGCCCCCUCACGGAACACUUCUACUCGUCCCUCCAAUCGAUUGUUUCCGCCAAUCAGACGAACUGAAACAUAAAUCCAUAAUGUAAACGAGGAAAUGCCAUCGUUUCAGAAUAACGUUUAUCUUUAUUGGAAGGGUAAGGGCAUCUCGGCUAUACGAAUGUUGCUUUUCCUAUAGGGUAUUGAUAGCUUGAGGCGAUUAUUUGAAUAAUAUAUCCAACAGUGAGAACUUCCAAUGAUCCUCUCGAUUUUUUACUACGUAAAAUAGACGGAUGGAUCACUUCGUAAAAUAGACGGAUGGAUAACUACGUAAAAUAGACGAAUAUAUUACUACGUAAAAUAGACGGGUAUAUCAUUACGUAAAAUAGACGGAUAGAUCACUACUACAUAAAAUUGCACGAGAAAAAAAAAAGAUAAAUAAAAAAACAAAGAAA